GGGUAGCUUCCCGGAAACGAAAAUCUUCCGGUUCCGGGGGAAGUAUGGUUGCAAAGCUGAAACUUAAAGGAAUUGACGGAAGGGCACCACCAGGAGUGGAGCCUGCGGCUUAAUUUGACUCAACACGGGGAAACUCACCCGGCCCGGACACCGUAAGGAUUGACAGAUUGAUAGCUCUUUCAUGAUUCGGUGGUUGGUGGUGCAUGGCCGUUCUUAGUUCGUGGAUCGAUUUGUCUGGUUUAUUCCGAUAACGAGCGAGACUCUAGCCUACUAAAUAGUAACGAGAUUAUCAAUGUCUCAGUUGCUUCUUAGAGGGAUUUUCGGUGUUUAGCCGCACGAGAUUGAGCAAUAACAGGUCUGUGAUGCCCUUAGAUGUCCGGGGCUGCACGCGCGCUACACUGGCGAAAUCAGCGUGCUGUAUCCAUUCUCGAAAGGGAUUGGUAAACCCAUGAAAAUUUGCCGUGCUUGGGAUCGGAAAUUGCAAUUAUUUUCCGUGAACGAGGAAUUCCAAGUAAGUGCGAGUCAUCAACUCGCUCUGAUUACGUC
rnacentral:rRNA from 1 species